rnacentral:misc_RNA from 1 species
GAUGAAGAACGCAGCGAAAUGCGAUAAGUAAUGUGAAUUGCAGAAUUCAGUGAAUCAUCGAAUCUUUGAACGCACAUUGCGCCCCUUGGUAUUCCGGGGGGCAUGCCUGUUCGAGCGUCAUUUGUACCUUCAAGCUUUGCUUGGUGUUGGGUGUUUGUCCCUCGGGACUCGCCUUAAAGUCAUUGGCAGCCAGUGUUUUGGUUUUGAAGCGCAGCACAAGUCGCGAUUCAAGGCUAUCCGCCCGCUUCCACAAGCCUUUUUCACUUUUGACCUCGGAUCAGGUAGGGAUACCCGCUGAACUUAAGCAUAUCAAUAAGCGGAGGA